GAGACCUCUUCGACCGUUACUCCGAAAAUGGAAUCAUGACCGUCGAUCACCUUCACAGGUUCUUGAUCGAGGUUGAGGGAGAAGAUAAAGCCACAAAAGAAGACGCAGAGUCGAUCAUGGAGUCUCUCAAUGAACUCAAACACCUCAAUAUCUUCCAUCGCAAAGGUCUCCAUCUCGAAGCCUUCUUUCACUACCUCUUCAGCGACUCUAAUCCUCCUCUCUCUCCUUCUCCUAAGGCAUAGCCGUGGCAUCUCAAGCUUCUUCAGCUAAUAUAAAGAGGAAAACGGAGAAACAUGUUGAUGAUGGUAGUGGUGAUAUAGUUGAAGCAGUACCAAACCUGAAGUUGCUUCAGCAUCAUCAUUGCGAAGUGCUAUGCAAGACAGUGGGGAUGUUAAUGACAGUGCAGAUGCAGCAAAGUUGAUUGAAAAUAUGGGGUUGAGUGAGGAGGUAAAUGGUUCAUCAGAAUAUGGAGGCGAAGAUGAGAAUGGGACGACUUUCAAUGACACUGAUCGAGCCGACACUGAUGACAACGGCGAUAAUAAACCAGAGCAUCCUAGUGAAGUGUCAAAAUACGAAAGAAAUCUGGAACUUCUUAACAUCAUGACACACUCCAUUUUUUUGAGUUUUCUGUUAGGAGCGCACUCUCUCUCUCUCUCAUGUGUAUUGUGUAGAAUAUAUGUACAGAAAUUUCUUAGCUUAGUUUGCAUGUCAGGGUUGAUCUGUUAUCUAGUUACAGCAUAGCCUAGUUGAUUUUGUGUAGUAUCACCAGAUGGUGCAUUUUUCGACUCUCAUUCAUAACCGUAUCUCAUUUUUUGUGCCAGUUGGACUUCAUUUCUAUUUU